rnacentral:rRNA from 1 species
AUUGAACGCUGGCGGCAUGCUUUACACAUGCAAGUCGAACGGCAGCGCGGGCUUCGGCCUGGCGGCGAGUGGCGAACGGGUGAGUAAUACAUCGGAACGUGCCCAGUAGUGGGGGAUAGCUCGGCGAAAGCCGGAUUAAUACCGCAUACGACCUGAGGGUGAAAGCGGGGGAUCUUCGGACCUCGCGCUAUUGGAGCGGCCGAUGGCAGAUUAGCUAGUUGGUGGGGUAAAGGCCUACCAAGGCGACGAUCUGUAGCUGGUCUGAGAGGACGACCAGCCACACUGGGACUGAGACACGGCCCAGACUCCUACGGGAGGCAGCAGUGGGGAAUUGUGGACAAUGGGCGAAAGCCUGAUCCAGCAAUGCCGCGUGUGUGAUGAAGGCCUUCGGGUUGUAAAGCACUUUUGGCGGGAACGAAAAGCACUGUGCCAAUACCACGGUUCGAUGACGGUACCCGCAGAAUAAGCACCGGCUAACUACGUG